CAGCCGCCGCGGUAAUACGUAGGGGGCGAGCGUUGUCCGGAAUUACUGGGCGUAAAGGGCGUGUAGGCGGCCUGUUAAGUCAGGGGUGAACGACCGGGGCUCAACCCCGGGGGUGCCUCUGAAACUGGCGGGCUUGAGUGCUCUAGAGGGCAGUGGAAUUCCCGGUGUAGCAGUGAAAUGCGUAGAGAUCGGGAGGAACACCAGUGGCGAAGGCGGCUGCCUGGGGAGUCACUGACGCUGAGGCGCGAAAGCUAGGGGAGCAAACAGGAUUAGAUACCCUGGUAGUCCUAGCCGUAAACGAUGAGCGCUAUGUGUGAGGGGUAUCGACCCCCCUCGUGCAGUAGCUAACGCAUUAAGCGCUCCGCCUGGGGAGUACGGCCGCAAGGUUGAAACUUAAAGGAAUUGGCGGG
rnacentral:rRNA from 1 species